rnacentral:tRNA from 1 species
GCCCGAAUGGUGGAAUUGGUAGACACGCAGGACUUAAAAUCCUGUGACCAUUGCGGUCGUGCGGGUUCAAGUCCCGCCUCGGGUACCA